GACGAACGUUGGCGGCGUGCUUAAUACAUGCAAGUCAACUGAAGCAGUGGUAGCAAUAUCGCUGUGGAGGUGGCGCACGGGUGAGUAACACGUAGGUAAUCUGCCUUCAGGUCUGGCAUAACUCCGGGAAACCGGGGCUAAUAGCAGAUGAUGCAGCGGCUCGACAUCGAGACAGUUGUUAAAGCUAUGGCGCCUGAAGAUGAGCCUGCGUCUGAUUAGCUAGUUGGCGGGGUAACGGCCCACCAAGGCAACGAUCAGUAGCUGGUCUGAGAGGAUGAUCAGCCACACUGGAACUGAGACACGGUCCAGACUCCGACGGGAGGCAGCAGUAAGGAAUAUUGCUCAAUGGGAGAAAUCCUGAAGCAGCAACGCCGCGUGAGGGACGAAGGGCUUUUGCUUGUAAACCUCUGUAGUGAGAGAAAAAAAUCCCAAUCUUUGGGACAUGAUGGUAUCUCAAAAGUAAGCCCCGGCUAACUACGUG
rnacentral:rRNA from 1 species